rnacentral:lncRNA from 1 species
UGACCUUGUCACAACUGGCGCCAUCUCAAGUGGCAGAGUUACUACUGAGCUCAAACAUAACAGUUGACGUCAACCUGAUCAAUCAGGUCUUUGAUCGUUUAGUUGCUGGCAACGCAUUGGAAAACGUGGAUGAGUUUCUCACUCAUCUCACAGCAGAAGGACAGGUAGGUUACACUCUGAAGCAGCAAAUAAAAUCAUUGUACAAUACGGAAAUAUUCAAGCAAAUGAAACCACAGACCAUCUAUACAUCUUCAAAGCUCCUCAUACCUACGUAUCCUUUUAAGGAGAUGUUUCACAACAUAUUACUGAUUUACAGCAUUUAAAAAAUACUGCAGUGGAUACUAACAUCAUAGCAAGUGUAAGGGAAUUGGUUUUCUCCAUUUGUCAAUAUUUCACAGGUCCCACAGUUCCAACCUGUUGUGAGUGAUCGCAUGAUGAACAGGACCUUUGACAUCAUCAGUCCACACUUCAUAAGCUUCCAAAGAAACGACUAUUCUCUUUGGUUCCGAGUCAAGCUGCUCCCUAUCCUUGCAAGUUUCACUCCAGAGAUGCUCCAAAAUGUAACCUCAACCAUCAACUGCACAAACUAUCAGAUCAUUGUGAGUGGAAUGGCCAAAGUGUCUUCUGCCAUGCCCCAGUUUAGAAAACAAGAAAUUGCAGCAGUUUUGCUCAGCUACAUGACCAAAUCUGUCAACAUCAUCAACCAGCCAGUUUGCAGGCCAAAUGGUGAAAGUGACGCCGUGUGGAUCGAAACAAACCUGGGUCCAUUUGCUGAAUACAUUACAUUCUCUGAACUCAAAUUCUUUAACUUGUCUCAGAUCGCAAUAAUCGACUUAAUUUCUGCAGAAGAAAAAGCUAAGUUCCUUUUGCAAGCUAACAACCUUGCCAAUGAAACUCUUGUAGUGCUUGUUUUUACAAGUCUCACCAUGAACUCUCCCCUGGACAACCUUCAAUCAUUCUUUGAAAUAUUUGUAGAUGGUUUUAUAAAGCAAAACCUAACAUCGCUGAAUCCUAGAGUGCGUGACACCAUCCUCAAUCUGACGUUAACAGCGAUUGGUCCAAAUCUUUCGCUGCUGAGUGUAGAGCAAGUAAAACUGUGGUUCCAGAUUUACCUCCCUUUGUUUCUCCCGAGCCUUGACUCAAGAACCUUUGAAGUGAUUUCAAGAAACAUCUCAUGUAGCUCCUAUCAACAGAUUAUUAAAGGAUUUGAUAACAUUAUCAGUCAACUCUUUGUGGGACAAAAUCAGACGGUGUUUACCUUCAUACUGGACUAUCUGAAUGGACAACUGUCCUCGGGUUUUUCGUGUGUUCAGACUGAAAAUGAUGACAGAAGUUGGCUUGAAAGUAAUUUUGGUUCAUUCUGUUCUCAAGCCUCCUUACAUGAUUUCCUGUCCUUGAAGAGAAAUUUUAAAGGAGUGAGUGUUUCUUUACCUUUUUUUUUUUUUUUUUUUUUGGUUCCUACAUUUCUUUAA